AACAGCUCAAAUUUGAAAUCUGGCUUCGGCCCGAGUUGUAAUUUGCAGAGGAUGUUUCUGGCGCGGUGCCUUCCGAGUUCCCUGGAACGGGACGCCACAGAGGGUGAGAGCCCCGUAUGGUUGGACACCAAGCCUGUGUGAAACUCCUUCGACGAGUCGAGUAGUUUGGGAAUGCUGCUCAAAAUGGGAGGUAAAUCUCUUCUAAAGCUAAAUACCGGCCAGAGACCGAUAGCGCACAAGUAGAGUGAUCGAAAGAUGAAAAGCACCUUGAAAAGGGGGUUAAACAGUACGUGAAAUUGUUGAAAGGGAAGCGCUUGUGACCAGACUUGCGCCGGGCGGUUCAUCCGGGGUUCUCCCCGGUGCACUCCGCCCGGUUCAGGCCAGCAUCGGUUCUCGUUGGGGGAUAAGAACGAUAGGAACGUGGCCCUCCUUCGGGUGGGUGUUAUAGCCUGUCGUACGAUACCCUGACGGGGACCGAGGUUCGCGCUCCGCAAGGAUGCUGGCGUAAUGGUCAUCAGCGACCCGUCUUGAAACACGGACCAAGGAGUCGUCCAUUAGAGCGAGCGUUUGGGUGUAAAACCCGCACGCGUAAUGAAAGUGAAAUUAGGUGAGAGCUUCGGCGCAUCAUCGACCGAUCCUGAUGUUCUCGGAUGGAUUUGAGUAAGAGUUUUAACGGACGGACCCGAAAGACAGUGAACUAUGCUUGUAUAGGGUGAAGCCAGAGGAAACUCUGGUGGAGGCUCGCAGCGGUUCUGACGUGCAAAUCGAUCGUCAAAUAUGAGCAUGGGGGCGAAAGACUAAUCGAACUG
rnacentral:rRNA from 1 species